GUCAUCACAGCAGAAGGAAGUGCAUUUCGUUCCCUCCAACAUUGUUUUCGCCAUGUAAUGGGCUAAAGUAUAAGAGCAUGAUGUUAAGCAUCUAGAUCUUGAUAAUCCAGAAAACAUAACAUGCUGUGGCUGCUUUGGAUCUAAGUGCUGCAAACACUUUCCAUUCACCAAGCAGGAUGCUAUUGCUUCUUACCUUCCCAUCCAUCAUUGCUUUCUUCAUUUCUCAUCAUCAUUAUUCCAACAAAUUUCCAAGUGCCAAAAAGCAAAGCUGAAGAUCAAAAAGAGAGAAAAAGCUGAUUUGAAGGAAGACAGAUGGGCCAAACACGUGGUAGUUGUUGGUGGGUUCAGAAUGAUCACCAUGUUGAAAGGUCACAAAUGUUACUUAUUAGCCAUAUGACUUUUAUGAGUAGUAAAAAUGAACCACCAGCUCUCAAAGGGAAUCUUCCAAAGACAAGAAGCAUUCUGUUUAAUUACGGGUGGCCACUUAGUAUGCAUGGAGAGAGAAAAGAAUGUAUAAAUGAAACAGGAUGGCGUAAAUACUGGUGUAUAUGAGCAAGCUGUCUGAUGCAUUGUGACGAGCACCUUGCCCAGGUCAUUAGGCUGCAGUAACUGGAACUGAUCCACCACACUCAGAUGGUAUGUCAGACACGUGGACAAAUUCUGCAAUAACAAUGGUGUCAAUGUCAUUUUGGAGGUGAGCAACUUCAUGCUCAAAGUGUGCUGCAAACUGAUUGCCUGCAAGUCACAUCAUGUUCAUUGUGCUGAUGGUAGGUAACUCAGGCUCACUGGAUUGCCUUGAGCAGGAGAUCUUUAUGCUAUGACACUGUAGGAAGGACUGAUUUGCAAUUCUUGAUUCAGCACAACUUUAGCUACAAAAAGUAACAUCUGUCAGUGCUUGGUUUAAGAGCUUAGUUCACAUAUGCACCUUCUUCCCUUGGCGACUUAAUUAAUCUCAAAUCAUAGCAACAACUUUCAUAUCAUGUAGUGUCAUCGCAAAGCCAAUGCUUUUCAAUGGGUCGGUUGAUCAUUAAAUAGCAAUGAGAAAUCCAGUGGUGCCAAUGCAUGACUGACCUUGCUCUAAUGCCCUCUUAAGAUGGCAAGAAAAAUCCCACAAGUACUCUAAGCAAUGCGUGUUAUACUCAGAGACCUGUGGGCAGAUGUGGGCAGAUGUGCACACCAAGAGGUUAAAACAAUUUCAUAUUCAA